AGUGAACGCUGGCGGUAGGCCUAACACAUGCAAGUCGAACGGCAGCACAGCAAGAGCUUGCUCUUACGGGUGGCGAGUGGCGGACGGGUGAGGAAUACAUCGGAAUCUACUUUUUCGUGAGGGAUAACGUAGGGAAACUUACGCUAAUACCGCAUACGACCUACGGGUGAAAGCAGGGGAUCUUCGGACCUUGCGCGAUUGAAUGAGCCGAUGUCGGAUUAGCUAGUUGGCGGGGUAAAGGCCCACCAAGGCGACGAUCCGUAGCUGGUCUGAGAGGAUGAUCAGCCACACUGGAACUGAGACACGGUCCAGACUCCUACGGGAGGCAGCAGUGGGGAAUAUUGGACAAUGGGCGCAAGCCUGAUCCAGCCAUACCGCGUGGGUGAAGAAGGCCUUCGGGUUGUAAAGCCCUUUUGUUGGGAAAGAAAAGCAGCAGGUUAAUACCCCGCUGUUCUGACGGUACCCAAAGAAUAAGCACCGGCUAACUUCGUG
rnacentral:rRNA from 1 species